CCCGACUGCUAUUUGGGUGAGAAUAAGCCAUGCGAGUUGAAUGGGAUGCCAAAAUUUCCCAUAGCAGACUGCUCAGCAACACAUGAUCAACUUACCCUAUAGAGAAAAAUAACCUCGGGAAACUGAGGAUAAUGUUUCAUAAUUGAAUAGGCUUGGAAAAGUUAUUCAACGAAAGGGAUAUGAAAAAUGGUUCAUAUCUGCUAUAGGAUAGGAUCGUGGUCGAUUAUGGUUGUUGGUGAGGUAAUGGCUCACCAAGCCGAUAAUCGAUAGGGGCCGUGAGAGCGGAAGCCCCGAGAUGGGUACUGAGACAACGACCCAGGCCUUACGAGGCGCAGCAGGCGCGGAACCUCCGCAAUACACGAAAGUGUGACGGGGUUACCCAAAGUGUUCUAUUAAGAACUGUGGUAGGUGGGUAAUGUCCCCUACUAGAAAGGAGAGGGCAAGGCUGGUGCCAGCCGCCGCGGUAAAACCAGCUCUUCAAGUGGUCGGGAUAAUUAUUGGGCUUAAAGUGUCCGUAGCCGGUUUAGUAAGUUCCUGGUAAAAUCGGGUAGCUUAACUAUCUGUGUGCUAGGAAUACUGCUAUACUAGAGGGCGGGAGAGGUCUGAGGUACUACAGGGGUAGGGGUGAAAUCUUAUAAUCCUUGUAGGACCACCAGUGGCGAAGGCGUCAGACUGGAACGUGCCUGACGGUGAGGGACGAAAGCCAGGGGAGCGAACCGGAUUAGAUACGUUGGUGCUAGUGAGAUAGAAGAAUAUCUAUUUAAAUAUUAUUAACACCACGCUAAACACCCGGGUAGUCCUGGCCGUAAACGAUGCAUACUAGGUGAUGGCACGGCCAUGAGCCGUGACAGUGCCGUAGGGAAACCGUUAAGUGUGCCGCCUGGGAAGUACGUUCGCAAGGCUAAAACUUAA
rnacentral:rRNA from 1 species